AACGAACGCUGGCGGCGUGCUUAACACAUGCAAAUCGAACGAGAAAAUGUAGCAAUACAUGAGUAAAGUGGCGCACGGGUCCGUAACACGUGGGUAAUCUACCCUUAGGCGAGGGACAACCUGUCGAAAGACGGGCUAAUACCUCGUAAGACCACGGAAUCUUAGGAUUCUGAGGUAAAAGGUGGCCUCUAUUUAUAAGCUAUCACCUGAGGAUGAGCCUGCGCACCAUCAGCUUGUUGGUGAGGUAAAAGCUCACCAAGGCCCAGACGGUUAGCUGGUCUGAGAGGACGACCAGCGACACUGGAACUGAGACACGGUCCAGACUCCUACGGGAGGCAGCAGUGGGGAAUUUUGGACAAUGGGCGAAAGCCUGAUCCAGCAACGCCGCGUGAGUGAUGAAGGCCUUCGGGUUGUAAAGCUCUGUCGGAGGGAACGAAUAAAGGCCACCUAAUACGUGGCCAUAUGACGGUACUCUCAAAGGAAGCAACGGCUAACUCUGUGCCAGCCGCCGCGGUAA
rnacentral:rRNA from 1 species